rnacentral:rRNA from 1 species
UACGGGGGGGGUAAGCGUUGUUCGGAAUUACUGGGCGUAAAGGGCUCGUAGGCGGCCAACUAAGUCAGGCGUGAAAUCCCUCAGCUUAACUGGGGAACUGCGUCUGAUACUGGAUGGCUUGGAUUCGGGAGAGGAAUGCGGAAUUCCAGGUGUAGCGGUGAAAUGCGUAGAUAUCGAGAGGAACACCUGCGGCGAAGGCGGGUUGCUGGGCCGACACUGACGCUGAAGCGCGAAAGCUAGGGGAGCGAACGGG